GAGGAAUGGCCGAGUGGUUUAAGGCACCAGUCUUGAAAACUGGCGAUCCCGCAAGGGGCCGGGGGUUCGAAUCCCUCUUCCUCC
rnacentral:tRNA from 2 species